GAUGAACGCUGGCGGCGUGCCUAAUACAUGCAAGUCGAGCGAACAGAUAAGGAGCUUGCUCCUUUGACGUUAGCGGCGGACGGGUGAGUAGCACGUGGGUAACCUACCUAUAAGACUGGAAUAACUCCGGGAAACCGGGGCUAAUGCCGGAUAACAUUUAGAACCGCAUGGUUCUAAAGUGAAAGAUGGUUUUGCUAUCACUUAUAGAUGGACCCGCGCCGUAUUAGCUAGUUGGUAAGGUAACGGCUUACCAAGGCAACGAUACGUAGCCGACCUGAGAGGGUGAUCGGCCACACUGGAACUGAGACACGGUCCAGACUCCUACGGGAGGCAGCAGUAGGGAAUCUUCCGCAAUGGGCGAAAGCCUGACGGAGCAACGCCGCGUGAGUGAUGAAGGUCUUCGGAUCGUAAAACUCUGUUAUUAGGGAAGAACAAAUGUGUAAGUAACUGUGCACGUCUUGACGGUACCUAAUCAGAAAGCCACGGCUAACUACGUG
rnacentral:rRNA from 1 species